GCCCGAAGGUUUGGUACAUCUUUGCUUUCCCCUGGGAGGGAGGAGGACAUGAGGGUGGAGUGGAGAGUUGGGCCUGGGGAGGGGAAGGGGACUUUUCUCUGCCGUGCAUUCUGGGAGGGACCGGCUGGGAGGUCAGCAGCCGGGCAGGAGCAGCCAGCAGAGUGCUGAUGUGGC